GCCCCGUUAGCUCAGCGGUAGAGCAUCUCACUUGUAAUGAGAGGGUCAGGUGUUCAAUUCACCUACGGGGCU
rnacentral:tRNA from 1 species